rnacentral:lncRNA from 1 species
CUACUCCGUGGCUUCUCCGGAAAACCGGAGUUACUAUUCACUUAAGUGAAAACUAAUAAUCGCGUAACUUCUCCGUUUAAGCUCAUUUUCUCCUAAAACUUGACAAGUGCUUAUGUAAUUAAAUUACACACAUAAACAUCAUCAACAGAGAGUUUAGUUGCACUGUCAAAAAUCUCAGUCCUUACAUUUGCAGAUUCCAAUGCUAACUUCUACUCUCGCGUUCCCACUGAGUCCAUUUUGCGUCUAUUUCGCGCCAACGCGACUCGGACUUGUCCCGACACCCUCACGACGUGUCGACAAGGCUCAAAUGCUGUACUCCAGGGAUACCACAUCAAAUUGAAAUUUAAAUAUAAAUAUCUAUCUAAAUUUUCAUUUUAUUUGAUUUACAAUUAAUAUUUCAUCUGAAAUUUAGACUUAAAAUUAAUUAAAUAAUUUAAGUUCAAAUUAAUAAAUUUUAAAUUAAAAGUAAAAUUUGAGUUUAAAUCGUGAAUUAAAUAUAAUUUUGAAUUAAAAGUUAAAAAAUUUAUUUAAAGUGGAUCAAAAUUAAAUUUUAAAUUAUGAAUUAAACAUGAAGUAAAAUUUUAAU